CAAUGUAUAUACACGUGUGUAUACAUAUGCGUAUAUGCAAAUAUAUGUGUGUGUGUAUACAUAGGUAUGUGUGUAUUUAUACGUAUGUGUGCAUUUAUACGUAUGUGUGCAUAUAGAUGAUAGAUAUCAUAACACUACACCCUGCUAACCAGGUUGAACCUGGUCACUCAUUGGACAAUCCUUACUUUAACUUUUACAGGGCUUAGUAGAGACCCCUAACUCUUAAAGUACCCUUUUUCUGAUGCCCUUUCACAAUUCAAGGGAGCCAAGAAAAGGUGGUGAGAUCAAACGUCAGUCUCUAGGGUUAUAAAACAGAAAAAUAUGUUUUAUCGAACCUAUUCUUUAACUUACGCUUCUUUAAUGGGAGACCACUUUUUGAUAACUGGAAUCCAAACCUUUUUGCCAAAGUAAGUCACAAGUGUGUCUUUAUAUGCUUAUGAUAGGGUUUUAUUUAUUUAAUUUGUUUUAUUUUUUGAGAUGGGGGCCUCGAAAUAUUGCCCAGGCUAGACUCAAACUCUGGGCUCCAGUGAUUCUCUCAUCUCAGGUUCCCAAAUAGCUGGGAUUAUAGAUGUGUGCCACUGCACCUGGCUAUGAUAAAGUUUAGUAUGUAUUAAUGUCUCUAUAAGCAAUUGUUCCUACUAUUUAACUUCUACCAGAAAGAAUGGCUCAAGUGUCAAUUACUGCCCUCCCUAGGUAUUUGUAGGUGAGAAAACAUAAUUUCUUUUCUUUCUUUUCUUAGGUUUUUAGCUGAAACACUCUCCUGAAAACAAAACAGGAUUAACAGGAGAAAAACAAGCACAAGUUUGUUAACCCAUGCUGUACUCAACAUGCAGGAGAGGCCUCAGUUCAACAGUACCUCUCUCUCAAGGCAGUGGCUUAGAGGCUUUGCUUAAAUGGUAUUUUAUCAAAGAGCCAUAAAUCCCUCAUAGUGACAAAACAAAGGAGAGAGCAGUUCUGGCCUUUUUCUUUUCUUUUUCGUUUCUUUUUUUUUUUUUUUUUUGAGACAGAGUCUUGUUCUGUUGUCAGGCUGGAGUGCAGUGGUGUGAUCUCGGCUCACUGCAACCUCUGCCUCCCACAUUCAAGUGAUUCUUCUGCCUCAGCCUCCCGAGUAGCUGGGACUACAGGUGCAUGCCACCUUGCCCAGCUAAAUUUUUGUAAUUUUAGUAGAGAUGGAGAUUCACCGUGUUGGCCAGGAUGGUCUCCAUCUCUUGAUCUCAUGAUCUGCCUGCCUUGGCCUCUCAAAGUGCUGGGAUUAUAGGCGUGAGCCAGCGCACCCGGCCUAGCCUUUUUUUUUCUUUUUUCUUUUUUUCUUUUUCCUUUUCUUUUUUUUUUUUUUUUUUGUUGUUGUUGUGAGAGAGAGGGCCUCAUUAUAUUACCUAGCCUAGACUGCAGUGGCAAUCAUGGCUCACUGAAGUUUCCAUCACCCAGGCCCAAGCAAUCCUCCCACCUCAGCCUCCUGAGUAACUAGGACUACAGGUGUGCACCACCACAUCUGGUUAAUUUUUAAAUUUUUGUAGAGACAGGGUCUUUUUAUGUUGCCCAGGUGGUUCUCCAACUCAUGGCCUCAAGGGAUCUCCCGGCCUCAGCCUCCUAAAGUGCUGGGAUUACAGGCAUGAGCCACUGUGCUUGGCUCAGUUCUAGUCUUUUAAAGGGUGGGGGCUGGGCAGCAGUGGCUCAUGUCUGUAAUCCCAGCACUUUGGGAGGCCGAGUUGGGUGGAUCACCUGAGGUCAGGAGUUUGAGACCAGCCUGGCCAUCAUAGUGAAACCCCAUCUCUACUAAAAAUACAAAAAAUUAGCUGGAUGUGGUGGUGCAUGCCUGUAGUCUCAGCUACUUGGGAGGCUGAGGCAGGAGAAUCGCUUGAACCUGGGAGGCAGAGGUUGCAGUGAGCCGAGAUUGUGCCACCACACUCCAGCUUGGGUGACAGAGUGAGACUCUGUCUCAAAUAAAUAAAUAAAUAAAUGGUGGGGAAAUGUGGGAAGAUAGUAAAAUCUGUUCCCAGAUUCCUCUGGUGCCUGCUGGUACCUGCUCUGGGCUGAUGAGCCAGAGCUGUCUCCAGUAAGGAAGAGUUGAUGUCCUGCCAUUGGGCAAACAGAGGCUGGGGCAGAGCAUUUCCCUAAGUUCAUUCAGUGUGUUUAACUUAACAAUCCUCAGUAUUUUGGGGGAAAUAAUUUGGCUUCCUUCACAUUCACCAGAAUUUAAAUAGCUCCAUGCAACAGAUCAUGGCGUGCAGGUGCCUGGCUGUGCAAUAGGUAGCUAAUUCAUUCUGGCAGGUGUGUCAGGAAAUUACCCCGUUCAGAAUCCACUGUUCCACAGGAACAUUGCUGGACUUUUUCUACAGCUGAGUGGCAAAAUGGAUGAUAACUGCUCCGAAAAUAUUCCAGUUGGAAAAUAACCUUGAAUUAUCGAUUAUUUCAUUACUUUCAACAGCUAAGCAGAGGAAAAUGACAUUUAGUCCAGAUUGUCUUAGGGAUAUGUUAUUCAUUUACUUUUUGUUGAAUUGUAAGAUCUGUAUAUUACAUUAAUUAUAAUAAAGCUAUAUAUUUAUGUGACAUUAAUUUAGUCCCCUCCUACUCAUUAUUAAUUUAUUUUUUAGACAGUGUGAGGAUCAGAUUUGCUGUAAAACCAUUAAGUUUAUUGAUUAAAAUGACCUACAGCGUGUCCUAUAUAAGGCACCACAUGAUGAGUUUAUUUUAAACUCAUUCUAAAAAAUUGAUUUCCUUAUUUCCCAUUCCAAGGGUUAUGCAACACAUUGUAUUACUCUUUUCUAGAUUGG
rnacentral:lncRNA from 1 species